CACGCCCUAAACGAUGUCAACUAGUUGUUCGGUGAGGAGACUCAUUGAGUAACGCAGCUAACGCGUGAAGUUGACCGCCUGGGGAGUACGGCCGCAAGGUUAAAACUCAAAGGAAUUGACGGGGACCCGCACAAGCGGUGGAUGAUGUGGAUUAAUUCGAUGCAACGCGAAAAACCUUACCUACCCUUGACAUGCCAGGAACUUGCCAGAGAUGGCUUGGUGCUCGAAAGAGAGCCUGGACACAGGUGC
rnacentral:rRNA from 1 species